rnacentral:rRNA from 1 species
CUUAACACAUGCAAGUGGAGCGACGACCGGGCUUGCCCCGGGGCAGAGCCGCGAACGGGUGAGUAACACGUGGGUAACCUGCCUCAAUGAUUGGGACCAACCCGGGGAAACUCGGGCUAAUACCAAAUGUGUUCACUCCUUCUAAGGGGAGUGAGGAAAGGAAGCUUCGGCCUCCGCAUUGAGAUGGGCCCGCGGCCCAUUAGCUUGUUGGUGAGGUAACGGCUCACCAGGGCUUCGAUGGGUAGCUGGUCUGAGAGGACGAUCAGCCACACUGGGACUGAGACACGGCCCAGACUCCUACGGGAGGCAGCAGUGGGGAAUCUUGCACAAUGCGCGAAAGCGUGAUGCAGCAACGCCGCGUGGGGAAGACGGCCUUCGGGUUGUAAACCCCUUUCAGUUGGGACGAAGCUUCGUCGGUGAAUAGCCGGUUGGAGUGACGGUACCUUCAGAAGAAGCCCCGGCUAACUACGUG